rnacentral:rRNA from 1 species
CAGCCGCCGCGGUAAUACGUAGGGGGCGAGCGUUAUCCGGAUUUAUUGGGCGUAAAGCGUGUGUAGGCGGUUUAUUAAGUUUAAGAUUAAAGCCCGGGGCUCAACUCCGGUUCGUCUUAAAUACUGGUAGACUUGAGUGUGGUAGAGGCAAAUGGAAUUUCUAGUGUAGCGGUUAAAUGCGUAGAUAUUAGAAGGAACAUCAGUGGCGAAGGCGAUUUGCUGGGCCAUUACUGACGCUGAGACACGAAAGCGUGGGGAGCAAAUAGGAUUAGAUACCCUAGUAGUCCACGCCGUAAACGAUGAGUACUAAGUGUCGGGAAACCGGUGCUGAAGCUAACGCAUUAAGUACUCCGCCUGAGUAGUACGGUCGCAAGACUGAAACUCAAAGGAAUUGACGGGCACCCGCACAAGCGGUGGAGCAUGCUGUUUAAUUCGAAGCUACGCGAAGAACCUUACCUAGACUUGACAUCCCUGGCGAAGCUAUAGAAAUAUAGCAGAGGUUACCCAGGUGACAGGUGGUGCAUGGCC